rnacentral:rRNA from 1 species
AGUACGUGAAACUGCUUAGAGGUUAAACCCGAUGAACCUGAAUAUCCAUUAUGGAAAAUUCAUCACUAAUAAUAUGAUAUUUUAAAAAUAUUAUAGAAAUGGUGUGCAAUUUUUCCAUAUAAGGACAUUGUAAUCUGUUAAUGUUAUAAAUAUUUAUCAUAAGAUCCAUUACUUAAGUUUAUUCAAAUUAGUUAUUUUCGGAUUUCUAACAUAGAAUAAAUGUUUUGGAUUUGAUAAAUCAUUGACAGAUAUAAUUAUAUAAAGUGCUUAAAAUUUUUCGAAAUUUUUACAAUGGUAAUUAAAUCUAAUGAUUUUUUUAUUUAAUUGUAUGCAUUUUUAUGAUUGACAAUGCGAUAGAUUCAGGAUACCUUCGGGACCCGUCUUGAAACACGGACCAAGGAGUCUAACAUAUGUGCAAGUCAUUGGGUAUUUUUAAUAAAACCCAAUGGCGUAAUUAACUUAACUGUCUAAUGGGAUUAAUUUAUAAUUUUUUAUAAAUUUAUUUAUUCAAUCCCGGGGCGUUCUAUAUAGUUAUGUAUAAUAGUAUUUAUAUUAUUUAUACCUCUAACUCGAGC